UGUGAAUAUAUUUAGGCCAAGCAGCUAGUCUUUGAUUAUCUACCCUCCCUCCUCUCUCUCUUGGUUACCCACUCUUGCGUCAUUCAUUUUGUGACUCUCCAGGCCCCUGUGACAUCAGCAGGAAAGGCUCAUGCAGGCUCAGCUUUGGGACUUGGUCCCAUGUGGUUUGCAGGAAGACAGAGUGGAGGGCAGGACCACAUACCUGUGUGGCCUGGCCUAGUGACCUGCUUCAAACUGAUAGAAUAUGGCAGAGAUGAAGCAAACAGCUGUGUUGAAGAGGCCUGUGUUCCUAGGAACUAAUGGUGAUGUCUAGCCAACAGCCAGCAAGGAACAGAGGUUCUUAGUCUGACAGCCCACGAGCUACGUGAGAGGCCUUGAAUCUGAGGACCCAGCUAAGCUGACCCUGUACUCCUGACUCACAAAAGCUGCA